CCCGAGAUAGUGAUGGUGGCUCCGUAGAGCAGUGCGGUUCUUGCGCUGUCCGGUGCGCUAACGUCGGCCCUUGAAAAUCCGAGUGAGGGAGUGUGAUUUUCGUGCCGGACCGUACCCACAUCCGCAGCAGGUCUCCAAGGUGAACAGCCUCUAGUCGAUGGACCAAUGUAGGUAAGGGAAGUCGGCAAAACGGAUCCGUAACCUUGGGAUAAGGAUUGGCUCUGAGGACUGAGCCGGUCGGGCUGGGGACCUGAAGCAGGAACGGCACUGCACCGGGACUGGGCGGGGCUCGCCGUUCACGCGGCGCGGCCAAGCCCGGACCAGCGUCGGGACCUUCCUGUGGAAAGCCUCAGCUGCGCGGCGUCCGAGGGCUUCGUGCCCAAAGUGCUAUGCUUCGGCCGGCAAAAAACAGUCAACUCAGAACUGGCACGGACCGGGGGAAUCCGACUGUCUAAUUAAAACAAAGCAUUGCGAUGGCCGCUGGUCGGUGUUGACGCAAUGUGAUUUCUGCCCAGUGCUCUGAAUGUCAACGUGAAGAGAUUCAUCAAAGCGCGGGUAAACGGCGGGAGUAACUAUGACUCUCUUGCCAAACUCGACGACUAUCUCCGGCACGUCUUCGUGUGUGACAAGGGUCCAAGUCAUGGUCGCGCUGGGGACCGUCAGGCAAAGGGGCCGACGAGUCGCCGGAAAAGAAAGAGACGGGAAUACGCCAGGAUGCAGGAGUUCUUCCGGAAACGGCAGGGCGACUGCGCCCGGGGUGUCUUGGAUGGCACUCCGGAAGUCCUGGUCGAGGACCCAGCCCAUUUGCUUGCACAGUGGGAGGAAGUCAUGUGUCCACCUGGGCGCGAGAUGGCUACUCCUACUACUGCAGUAAUGCAGGAGGAGGGAACCUCGGAAGCAAAGGUAAAUCUCUUCUAUCCGGUGACAUCGCGGGAGGUGACGAGUAAUCUGCCACCCGUGAAGUCGGCCCCUGGGCCUGACGGGUUCACCGCGCGACUGUUGAGGACGGUUCCCAACACCACACUCGAGGUCAUCAUGAACCUAAUGGCUCUGGUGAAACGCGUGCCGACGUCGCUGAGAGGGGCGCGCACGACCUUCAUUCCAAAGAAGUCCCCAGCUAAGUGCUACUCGGACUUCCGCCCCAUAACGGUCUCCAGCGUGCUGCUGAGACUGUAUCACAGGAUCCUGGCGAAGC
rnacentral:ncRNA from 1 species